GCUUGUAAAUUCAUAAAAUCUUCAAUCGCACUUUACAAUGAAACGACGUCGUCUUUAGAUUCUUCCUCCGCAGAAGAAACAGGGGAUUUUCGUCGAAUUCAAUCGGCCGAGCAAGUGGAAGAAUCGAGAAGCUCUUAAUCGCAAACAAAGGCGAAAUUGCGCGACGCCGAUGAGCGGAGCUUGCACGUCAAAUUGGGUCAGCUGCUUCCAGAACUGGCGAUCAGGUUGCUAUCCACCCUGAUUAUGGUUUCUUAUAAGAAAGCUCUGAGUUUGCUCGACUUGUUCAAGACGAGGAAUUACAUUUGUUGGACCUCCGGCAUCUGCAAUUCGUGACAUUGGUGAUAAAAAAGAGCCAUUUAGUUACAAUAUGCUAUCCACUCUGGAUAUGGUUUCUUAUCAGAAAGCUCUGAGUUUGCUCGACUUGUUCAAGGCGAGGGAAAUACAUUUGGUAGACUUCCUGCAUCUGCAAUUCAUGACAUGUGUGAUAAAAGUGAUUCACCUUAAUACAUUUCUGAGUACCUCUUGUGCUUGGGUGUCAUGGCUACGAACAAGAUAUUGAUCUGAUGAAGUUAGAAGCCGACAAGAUUGUAUAUCCUAUAUUGAUAAAGCCAACUCAUGGAGGUGGAGGAACGAUGAUGCUACUUUCUUAUUAUGAUCUCAUUUAUACUAUUAUUGUUGGUGUAAAUGUCAUAGAAGAAAUGCUAAUUCUGUUUUAAAAUUUUAAUCGUAUGAAUGCUUUUUUAAA